rnacentral:rRNA from 1 species
UACGUAGGGCGCAAGCGUUGUCCGGAAUUAUUGGGCGUAAAGAGCUCGUAGGUGGUUUGUUACGUCUGCUGUGAAAACCUAGGGCUUAACCCUGGGCCUGCAGUGGAUACGGGCAGACUAGAGGUAGGUAGGGGAGAAUGGAAUUCCCGGUGUAGCGGUGAAAUGCGCAGAUAUCGGGAGGAACACCGGUGGCGAAGGCGGUUCUCUGGGCCUUACCUGACACUGAGGAGCGAAGGCGUGGGGAGCGAACAGG